GAUCCAAAACCUCCCAAGACAUUUUGGAUUUGUGGUUCAACAACAUGCUGACUCCACUGUGGAACCAGCUGUAUGAGGACCAGCUAUCCACCAAAUAGACCAACACCAGGGAGUUUCUGAGGAAUUUAUCCAAGAUGCUGCAACGGAACAUUGGGGAGAUGUCUCCCUGGCUGAAGCAACAAAGGAAGAACCACAGUAGGAUGGCAUGUGAGUUGGAACCAAUUAAGCCAUCGCCAGUAUUAGAGAGUUAUCGCAACAAGUGUGAGUUUACCAUCGGCAAGAGUGUAGAUGGCAUCGGUCUUGACCCACAAGAUAACCAUUCCACCAGCACCUCUGACG